UGGUGCUAUCCAUGACACCUGGGAUACUACCCCAAAAAUUUUCGCCAUAGUUUCAGUAUAUGCUUCCAGAUUCGAAGAAGUCAAAGCGUUACUGAUUGCCCUUUCCACUUUUUUCCACCUUUGUUUGGGACACUACCAUAAAAUCCCAAUCACUUUUCGAUCGUUGUAGUCUAUUGUUGCUGUGUAAGAUGGGCCAUGGAACCUCCAAAGAUGAACCUCAGGAAGACUCAUCGGAUUCCUCUGCUUCCACAACUUCCAGAAUUCAAAGACUCCGGCAGCGCCUCCACCGCCACCGUCUCCAUUUUCGCCGCCUCCACCGUGGCUCCGGUUCUGGCUCCCAGUUAAGCAAACUACUCAAGGAGGAAGACUUCGCCGGCAUCGCCCUCCUCCGCCUCAUCGGCGCGGAGAUGAGAUUCAAGGACAAAUGGCUUGCAUGUGUUUCUGUCGGCGAGCAGACCUUCCGAACUGCCAUCUCCGAUCAAACUGACCAGCCUGUCUGGAACUCUGUGAAAAAUCACUACAUCACUCUACAGGAGAAAAAGCUUCUUUUGGAGAGAAAUGGGGCACGUGUUGCAAGAAUAUCUGUAUUUGAGACUAACAGAUUGUCAAAGAACAAUCUUAUUGGUUACUGUGAGAUUGAUUUGUAUGAUUUCCUUACUCGGGAUUCAGAUUCUGACAUAGAUGCAUACGACUUAAUAGAUCCAACUUCUGCCGGAGGAAUUGUUGGCAAAAUAAGGUUGUCAUGUUCCAUUGAGGACCCAAUGGAAACAGAAAAGAGUUUUGUCCGGCGCAUUUUGUCUGUUGUGGAUUAUGAUGAAAGUGGAAAUCUUUCAUAUGCUGAAUUCUCUGACCUAAUUGAUGCAUUUGGCAAUCAACUGGCUGCUACAAAGAAAGAGGAGCUUUUCAAAGCAGCUGAUGAGAAUGGGGAUGGAGUUGUCAGCAUAGAUGAGUUGGCUAUGCUUUUAGCUGUUCAACAAGAAAAGGAUCCUCUUAUCAAUUGUUGUCCUGUCUGCGGAGAAAUUCUUCAAAUCUCGGACAGGUUGAAUGCUAUGAUUCAUCUGACCCUAUGUUUUGAUGAAGGAACUGGAAAUCAGGUUAUGGCUGGAGGAUUCUUGACUGACAAGCAGGCUUCGAAUGGAUGGAUGUUCAAAGUAAGUGAAUGGGCUCAUUUUUCAUCCUAUGAAGUUGGAUUGAGGUCUGGAUCAAGUGCUUCACAUAUCCUGGUUUUUGAUAGACGAACAAAAAGAUUAGUGGAGGAAACAAUUGAUGCCAAGAUUGUGUUAUCUAUGAGAGCGUUAUAUCAAUCUAAAGUAGGGCUUGGCCUCAUGGACAAAGGGGCAAAGGAACUCUUGCAGAGCAUCUCCGAAAAGCAGGGCAGGAAAAUGGAUUCACCCGAAUCUGCUAAGGAUAUUGAAAAAUUUAUUUGUUUGUUUAAGGAUCAAAUAAAUUUGUCUGAAAUCAAAUAUCCUUUGGAGCACUUUAAGACAUUCAAUGAAUUCUUUAUAAGAGAGUUAAAACCUGGUGCAAGGCCAAUCACCAAUGCUGAACGUGAUGAUGUUGCGGUAUCUGCUGCUGAUAGUCGGUUGAUGGCAUUUGAAACUGCUGAAGAUUCUAUGAGAUUUUGGAUUAAGGGACGGAAAUUUUCUGUGCAAGGUCUUUUAGGAACUGAAGUGUGCUCUGAUGCCUUCAGUGAUGGAACUCUAGUGAUAUUCCGCUUAGCACCACAGGACUAUCAUCAUUUCCAUUUUCCUGUUUCUGGAACUAUUGAGAAAUUUGUGGAAAUACCUGGAUGCUUAUACACGGUUAACCCAAUUGCAGUGAAUAGCAAGUACUGUAAUGUGUUCACUGAGAAUAAGCGUGUUGUAUCUACAAUAUCAACCAAAGAAUUUGGAAAGGUAGCUUUUGUUGCUAUUGGAGCAACCAUGGUUGGUAGCAUUAAUUUCACCAAAAAAGAGGGUGACUAUGUCAAGAAAGGAGACGAGUUUGGAUAUUUUUCCUUUGGCGGAAGUACAGUCAUUUGUGUCUUUGAGAAGGAUACUAUCAAGAUAGACAACGACCUCCUGGAGAACAGUUCGAGACACCUUGAGACGUUGGUCUCUGUGGGAAUGCAAUUGGGUCUGUCCAUUAAAAAAACCCUUGGCUAGAGAGAGGUCGCUUAAGGCGAAACCUUGCAUUAUAUGGGCCUGAAAGGGGUCGGUUUGCAAAUUUUGCAGGAGAUCCAAUACCAAAUAUUCAAAUUGGAGUUUUUGCUGAGUGGGCAUCUAUUUUUUGGAGAAAGACAUCCUGUUGCUUGAGGAGAAGAUCUAGUUAAUGCAAGUUUAUAGCCGAAAAUUCCUCCUACAAUUAAGUGCAAGAAACGAAGGCAAGUUUCUAGACAAUUAUAACCUAGUAUUUUGACAUCUCUUUGCAUGAUCCGGUUUGAUACAACUCAAUUGCAUAUCAAGUUUGGCCACCAGUAACUGUUUUCUAUGCUGUAUUAUUUCUGUAAGUAGCUUAAUGUGUAGUCGUGUAACCUCCUUUGUUGUAUGGAUAUGAACCCGAGUUUGCCUUGUGUAAAGCUGCUGGUCCCUGCA